rnacentral:lncRNA from 1 species
GAUUUUUUCCGAGACUUGGUGUUAUUGGUUUUGCUGGCCUUAUUGGACUCCUUUUGGCUAGAGGUUCAAAAAUAAAGAAGCUAGUGUAUCCGCCUGGUUUCAUGGGAUUAGCUGCCUCCCUCUAUUAUCCACAACAAGCCAUCGUGUUUGCCCAGGUCAGUGGGGAGAGAUUAUAUGACUGGGGUUUACGAGGAUAUAUAGUCAUAGAAGAUUUGUGGAAGGAGAACUUUCAAAAGCCAGGAAAUGUGAAGAAUUCACCUGGAACUAAGUAGAAAACUCCAUGCUCUGCCAUCUUAAUCAGUUAUAGGAAAAACUAGACCAGACCUCUGUUAUCUUCUGUGAAAUCAUCCUACAAGCAAACUAACCUGGAAUCCCUUCACCUAGAGAUAAUGUACAAGCCUUAGAACUCCUCAUUCUCAUGUUGCUAUUUAUGUACCUAAUUAAAACCCAAGUUAAAAAAA